CCUAGUGUGGAAGGCUCCGGGACUUUUCCACCGGCUGCGGGUCCGGCUUUAGUCCGGAGAGAAGAAGAAACUGCGCUUCGGGGGUUCAGCUCCAGGACACAGCGGUUCCCGGGGCCAGGGGCGGCGCUCUGCAGAGGCGAGGUCAAGGUGGCCCUGGCAGGCGUCUCCCACGCCAAGUUGGGAAGGCGCGGAGUAAGCCGCUGGGGGAAAGAAGUAUUUUUCCACGCCGGCCUGGUCCAGGAAGGAAGCCGGGAACCUUUCAGCGCUAUCGGAGUUUCACCUGCCUCUCCCUGAGGCGCCCAGGGGAAGGAAGGAUGCAGGAGUCGCACCCAGACCUACAGGCUGGACCGGACCUGCAGAAGAACAGGGGCUUUUUAGGAUCCAUCGCUCACAGUCCCAUAGUUCCUGGGGCAGAGAACACCCCCUUCCCCUCUCUAAGCCUCAGGUUCAUCAUCUGUGAAAUAUCGAAACCUAAAGUGCAGGGGAUGGGGCAUUGUACACAAUGAAUGAGACCACCUGUGAAACCCUGUGGUCUAACAAUAGUGUUCACACUUUUCCUUCCGGGAAGGUAGGAAGCCAGUUCCUAGCAGUAAAAUCUAGCCCCUCUGGAGGUUUAGGAUUCUCAGAAUCAGGCAGAUCCAGUGCUGGGGUUGGAGGGACCGGGAGAUUCAGAAUGAGCAGGCAAUUUGCAAAGGAGCUUCUAAGCAAAUUCUCCUCCCUUCCCACCUUUAAAAGACAAUUAGGAGGAAGGGGGGAAUUUCAGCACGGGUGGGGUGGGGAGGGUCUGCAGUCCUGUCUGCUUGUUUCAGGAUCAAAUCUCCCAGGUGUAUGAGGGCUGAAACUCCAGAUGUGGCUGAUCCAAGUCAGGCUGCUAAGGAGCUAGGCUGCCUCUUUUAAAUACAGGGUCUGCUCCACACGCCUGGGCGACCCAUGAGAAAGGGGUGGUUGUAUGCACAGAGCUCUGGGGUACCUUUACACCGUCUCAGUGUCUUUCCCGGAGAGAGGGGUAAUAAGUUCAUAGAAACGAGGGCUCUUCAUUUCACCUUAUUGUCUUCUAGUUUGUUGUGACAUACGGCAGAUCCUUGGCCCUCACAAUUCAGCCCAAUGGGAGAACAUUUUCUGCCUACCCAGCUCCCCUCAACGGGGAUAAUGAAGUGUUCAGAGUAAAUGUCCCUGGAGAACAAUCGCUUUUUCUCUGUCUCUCACUUACUAUCAGGAUAGAAGCAGUCAAGUGUAAUGAAGAUCAGUUUCUGUGUUUAGCUGGAAAACCCAUUAAAAAACCAGCCAUCACUUCCCUUUUACCAACAAAGCUUUGAUUUGUAGUUCCAA